rnacentral:rRNA from 1 species
GAGGAAUAUUGGUCAAUGGACGCAAGUCUGAACCAGCCAUGCCGCGUGCAGGAAGACGGCUCUAUGAGUUGUAAACUGCUUUUGUACGAGGGUAAAAUCGGGUACGUGUACCUGAUUGAAAGUAUUGUACGAAUAAGGAUCGGCUAACUCC